AGGGAUCAUUACCGAGUUUACAACUCCCAAACCCCUGUGAACAUACCAAUUGUUGCCUCGGCGGAUCAGCCCGCUCCCGGUAAAACGGGACGGCCCGCCAGAGGACCCCUAAACUCUGUUUCUAUAUGUAACUUCUGAGUAAAACCAUAAAUAAAUCAAAACUUUCAACAACGGAUCUCUUGGUUCUGGCAUCGAUGAAGAACGCAGCAAAAUGCGAUAAGUAAUGUGAAUUGCAGAAUUCAGUGAAUCAUCGAAUCUUUGAACGCACAUUGCGCCCGCCAGUAUUCUGGCGGGCAUGCCUGUUCGAGCGUCAUUUCAACCCUCAAGCCCUCGGGUUUGGUGUUGGGGAUCGGCGAGCCCUUGCGGCAAGCCGGCCCCGAAAUCUAGUGGCGGUCUCGCUGCAGCUUCCAUUGCGUAGUAGUAAAACCCUCGCAACUGGUACGCGGCGCGGCCAAGCCGUUAAACCCCCAACUUCUGAAUGUUGACCUCGGAUCAGGUAGGAAUACCCGCUGAACUUAAGCA
rnacentral:rRNA from 1 species